GACCCAGAGGUCGGGAUGCGAUGGACUUUCACCUUCUCUCCUAUUCCAUUUCAGGACAGUUGGCUUCUUGCAAAAGGAUCUCUGUUCUUCCGAAAGCCACAGAGCUUCUCAGGAUCUGUUUUCUGCGAAAUCAGGGGAAUUAAAGAUACCUGUAAAAAUCACUUUCUGUCUCAAGUGGACUAAGGACAGAAGGCAAGAACGUUCUCCUUGAUUUUAUUCUGUGCACUGAAUAUCCUGGACGGCACGACAUGUCUUGGCGAAGGAAACUGGUGAAGAUUUAAGCUAGAGUUUCUUGUACUUUUUCCAGCUGUGACUAUUUUUU
rnacentral:lncRNA from 1 species